AGUGAACGCUGGCGGUAGGCCUAACACAUGCAAGUCGAACGGAAGCACAGUAAGAGCUUGCUCUUACGGGUGGCGAGUGGCGGACGGGUGAGGAAAACAUCGGACUCUACUUUUUCGUGGGGGAUAACGUAGGGACACUUACGCUACUACCGCAUACGACCUACGGGUGAAAGCAGGGGAUCUUCGGACCUUGCGCGAUUGAAUGAGCCGAUGUCGGAUUAGCUAGUUGGCGGGGUAGAGGCCCACCAAGGCGACGAUCCGUAGCGGGUCUGAGAGGAUGGUCAGCCACCCCAGAACGGAGCUGAGGUCCAGACCACUACGGGAGGCAGCAGAGGGGAAUAUUGGACAAUGGGCGCAAGCCUGAUCCAGCCAUACCGCGUGGGUGAAAAAGGCCUUCGGGUUGUAGAGCCCUUUUGUUGGGAAAGAAAAGCAGCAGGUUAAUACCCCGCUGUUCUGACGGUACCCAAAGAAUAAGCACCGGCUAAUUUCGUG
rnacentral:rRNA from 1 species